UACGUAGGGGCCAAGCGUUGUCCGGAUUUAUUGGGCGUAAAGAGCUCGUAGGCGGUUCGGCAAGUCAGCUGUGAAAUCUCCACGCUCAACGUGGAGGGGUCAGCUGAUACUGCUGUGACUCGAGUCCGGUAGGGGAGUGUGGAAUUCCAUGUGUAGCGGUGAAAUGCGUAGAUAUCGAGAGGAACACCUGCGGCGAAGGCGGGUUGCUGGGCUGACACUGACGCUGAUGCGCGAAAGCUAGGGGAGCGAACGGG
rnacentral:rRNA from 1 species